UACAGAGGUGGCAAGCGUUGUUCGGAAUUAUUGGGCGUAAAGGGCGCGUAGGCGGCUUUGCGUGUCUUUCGUGAAAUCCCUCGGCUCAACUGAGGACGUGCGGAAGAAACUGCAGGGCUGGAGUCCGGGAGAGGAGGGUGGAAUUCCCAGUGUAGCGGUGAAAUGCGUAGAUAUUGGGAGGAACACCGGUGGCGAAGGCGGCCCUCUGGACCGGUACUGACGCUGAUGCGCGAAAGCGUGGGGAGCAAACGGG
rnacentral:rRNA from 1 species